rnacentral:rRNA from 1 species
UACGUAGGGGGCUAGCGUUGUCCGGAUUUAUUGGGCGUAAAGAGCGUGUAGGCGGCCAGGUAGGUCUGCUGUGAAAACUCGAGGCUUAACCUCGAGAUGUCGGCGGAAACCAUCUGGCUAGAGUCCGGAAGAGGAGAAUGGAAUUCCCGGUGUAGCGGUGAAAUGCGCAGAUAUCGGGAAGAACACCCGUGGCGAAAGCGGCUCUCUGGAACGGUACUGACGCUGAGACGCGAAAGCGUGGGGAGCGAACAGG